CGGAGCAAGACCAAAUAGGAAUCCGCUAAUCGUGACCCGCGAUGGGAUUCGGGUAGGUCGCUAUAGGUGUCCGGCGACGGGCAUCACAGAUGAAUGAUUGUCCUCGACAGAACCCGGCUUACCGGCCGGCUCCUUAU
rnacentral:RNase_P_RNA from 1 species